UGGUUGAGCCUUCUGGCUCCGGUACUAGGAGACGGGGUCGUAAGACUCCUCGAGAGUCAGACUCUUUUGAGGAGCGUGAAAGGAAACGGCUCCGGGACUUAUUUGCAGAACCAACAGAUGAGGACUCUUUUGAGGGUUUUACCGAGGGAAUGGAGGAAGAAAUGGUCAGCUCGGAGGAGGAUGACAUGGAGUGGACUCGUGUGAGGGAGGAUUUGGGUGUCACCGGCAAUGAAAGCUUGGGGAGCGAUUGGCGGGUUGCAGGAUCAGACCCAUGGACGGGCUGGAGGGAUGGAGCGGGAUCCACAGCUGGGGAUGCUGUGGGGCGUAGUCAAAGGUGUUUUAGCUCUGAUGAGGAUGAUGAUGAUGAGGCACCUGGGAUUAGAAUGGCAGCUGACAGCGAUGAUGAGUUUGAACUGGGAUAAAAUGGGGUUUAGGAUCAAUGUCUAAUUGCGUUGGGCAAGGUAAUCUGGACGAACGCUUGGGCUCUUGUUGGGGAACUUCCUGAAGACGGGUGUGAUUCGUUGCUGGAUACCUUGGACCUCCGUCGUCUUUUUGACGGACAUUAAUUACCUACUCUGGAUUGACGCUGGACUGACUGACUUCGACCCCGGAUUAUCCCUUCUGUGGCUAUCGGUGGGACUUGUGGAAUUCUAGACGUCUGCACUUGGCUUUCGACCUUGGACCGGAUUGAGACCCUGCUGACUGCCAUUACCCUGAUUGAUGUGCCUGGACCCGGAUUUCGCUCGUUGCACGGAGGAGUAAACAGCCUGAUUUACUCAUCUGUAGCUUUUGAGUAGCAGAGAGGAAUCUGCUGCCAAUUUAUUGUGUUCAUUCUGACCUUCUGUUAAUCCUCUUUUGUUUGCUAAAUUUGCAGGCUGAAGUAAGCACUUUUGAUUUAAUCCGGAUUAAACUCCUGUUUAAUCCAGUUUAUCCUUUUUGAACCGUUUUAGUUCAAACGGAGCUGUUUUGUUACUUUUCACACUGAAGUCAAGUGUUUGCCUAAUCCUUUGUUUCCUACGGGCAUUUUCAGUUUUGUAACCUCAAUAAACUGAGUUUUACUCUA